GUGGUCGCUUCGGCAGCACAUGUACUAAAAUUGGAAGGAUACAGAGAAGAUUAGCAUGGCCCCUGCGCAAGGGUAAAACAACAAUAGCGGCAACAAAAAUGGAA
rfam:Erinaceus europaeus unplaced genomic scaffold scaffold00197, whole genome shotgun sequence